GAUGAACGCUGGCGGCGUGCCUAACACAUGCAAGUCGAACGGAGAUUUAACGCUGAUGAAGCUUCGGCAGAUUCUUGUUAAAUCUUAGUGGCGGACGGGUGAGUAACGCGUGGGCAACCUGCCUCAUACUGGGGGAUAACAGCUGGAAACGACUGUUAAUACCGCAUAAGCGCACGGUAUCGCAUGAUACAGUGUGAAAAACUCCGGUGGUAUGAGAUGGGCCCGCGUCAGAUUAGCCAGUUGGCAGGGUAACGGCCUACCAAAGCGACGAUCUGUAGCCGGCCUGAGAGGGCGGACGGCCACAUUGGGACUGAGACACGGCCCAAACUCCUACGGGAGGCAGCAGCGGGGGAUAUUGCACAAUGGAGGAAACUC
rnacentral:rRNA from 1 species